rnacentral:lncRNA from 1 species
AAAAGGGAGAAUCCAUUAUCAAGCACGUCGCCCAUGAGCGGAGGAGCUAGUAGACUGAUUUGCUCGUAAAGGGAGGGAGACCUGAGAGGAGGAGCCCUAUGCGGGGCUAAACCACGAGCGAGGGCAUUUCCGAGCUCGGGUUCGCAUAUGAGGGGUUAUGUUGCAUGUGCGGAUGGCCUUUCCUGCAUACAUGUAUAGUUGUGCCGUAAGCCAGGUGCCGGAUCUACUGGGUUAGGGACUCCAGUCAUGUAUGGUGUCCCGCCACUGCAUGGGGUGGCUAUUUUGGGUGGCCUUCACGUCGAGUUACCCAAAUCGGCGGAGGGGUGCCAUGUGCUGGUACGGGUACCAUUCGGGGGUUGCAACCCAACACCCUCCUAUGCCCACUGGUAAGUCUUUCUGUUUGACCGGAUUUGACCUUUUGACCGAUUCUAUUUAUGUUUACAAGUUUAAUCUGAUCCAAGUGUCUCAUGUGGUGAACCGGAUCCAUUAAUGGUAGUACUAUUGGAAGAAUUUUUAUUAUGUGGGUUUUGUAUUUGAUGUUAUGAUGAUGAAGUGUUUUCUUAUAUGAAGUUUAAAAUAUUUUUUAAACAUAUUUGCUCUUUUUUUUUCUUAUAUGAAGUUUGUUAUCUAUUAAGUAUGAAUUAGCUCAUUCAUACACUAGCAUGCUCAAAUAUUUAAUCACAAUUUUACAUAAUUAUCUAUAUAAAUAUAUUGGAAAUAUAAUAUUAGAUUAUAUUGAUGCACAUAUACAUGAAGGAUUCUUCAUAUAUAUAUAUAGAUUUAUAUAUUCUAGUGGAUUAAGUGGGAAUUAUGACAUCUUAUUGCAUUAUGUAUAGAUUCUUAAAUUUUUGAAUUAAGGGUAUAUUUGGUUUGAGGAGUAUUUGUCGAUUGCUUUAAAAUAUUUUAGCUUUUUCUUAGAAACUACGAUAGGUUUUAAUCUUAGAUAUUCUCUUAGAUUUUUUCCUAGAUCUUCUCUGAGAUUUUCGCUUGGAUUUUUUCCUAGAUUUUAUCCUAUAUCUUUUCUUAGAUUUUUUUUCUAGAUUUUCUCUUGGAUUUUCUCCUUGAUUUUAUCAUGGAAGAGGAAUUAUCUUCUACUUCAAUUUGGAAGCUUUUAAAGCAUCUUCAACUCAACUUCUCCAACAAAAAUUGAUUAAAUAUUGAAGACCCCAUCUAAGUCAAAUAGACCAUGGAGAAUUCGACCACAACACCACUUGUCAAGAGAGAAGAUUUUUAGUUCUACUUGGUUUAUGUCUUUUUAAUUAUUAUUUUGAUAGUUUUCUAAAUUGAGUUGUAACUAGAAUUAUUCUUGGAUUUUACUUUUUGAUUUCAAGUAGAACUAGUUCAGGUGAAUGCAUAUAUAAAGGCCUCAGCAUUAGGUUGUCAUACAUCACUUUAAAAAUAAUCAAAUUCAAGAAUUAUUUUGCUUUAGUAUGCUGAUUGUGAAUCCUCUUUAUGGAGGUUCUUUAACUAUCUUAUUGAGGUAGGAAUUAGAUCUAUUUAUCGAGAUAAGCUCAUGGUAUCUUUUUAAUUUUGAAUUUCUUAAUUUUCAGUACCUUAGUUUGCCUCCACAUUGUUGAUUAUGGGUUAAGUUAGGAGGGUUUACUUUGGGAUUUAAGUUUCUGCAUGUUGAUGUUAUAUGCAGGAUUUUAGAUUACGUUGUUGAUUCCAAGUUCUGCUUCAUUUGCACCUCCACCUUUAAGACCUUCUAAGUUUAGCCCAAGACUUCUUUCUUUAUGGAUCCAUCCUUUAACAUAAACUUGAAAUUCCUUCUUGAUUUUAUUAGCAAAUGAUCUUGUCCUUACUCCACUUGACAUAGUGGUACUGCAUCUAUCCAACCAUCUGCACCUUGAAGUGGAUCCAUCCUAGGCUUCUCUUUAUGUGGCCUUUGCUCAACUUGAAUUUGGUUUUGAUCUCCACUUAUUUGGACCUUGUCGUAAGGAUCUCCCUUUGAAUGGACCUUGCCAACAUUUAUCAUUCAUGAAGCCUAAAUUGUGACCUCUUAAGCUCAUGAGAUCAUGAGCUCCAUCUUAAGUUAUGUCUUGCUCUCCCUUAGUGUGGUUAAGACCUUUUAAGCUCAUAUAGCCAUGAUUUCCUUUGUGGCCGUGAACUCUUAAGCUUAUGUAGCCAUGAUCUGUCAUGUGGUCAUUAGCUUUUAUGUUUCUUUGAGCUUCCAUCUGGCCUAUGAUGAUUUAUGCCACCUUGAUCUCUAUCGAUGCCUUCCUAAUCAUGUCUAUAACUCAUUGAAACCUGAUAUGAUUUAAAACAGUUCCUAAGCUUGGUUAAACAUCUUAGUAAAUUCUUCUUAACAAAGGGAUUCAUGGGAGAAAAAGUAGAUAAAAAAUUAUUUAUAAAGAUCAAUGGAGAUGAUAUUUUAAUUGUUGAGAUAAGAUAUUUUUUCAAUCACAUUAGUUAUGUCCUGAAAUUUUUUGUGAUGUAUUAAGAUAUGCGAUCCUUUGAAUUACAUCAAGCUAUAUGAUGAAAAUUCUCUUGUAACCUCAGGACAUAUGAUGUGUUGAGAAAUAUAAUAAUUUAAACCACAUCACAUAAUAUGCUAGAAGUGUGAUUCCGUAAAUUACUUAAGACAUUUUAAUCACUCUUAUCACAUAUGAUGCACUUAAUAAAUUGAAGGUGAAAUGACAUUUUUCUAAAAAAUAAUAAUAUUUUUGAAUAUGGAUGAUGUUAAGUUUUUUAAUUUUUAUGUUUAAGAAUCUUGUCUGAGUUGGUGAAUAAUGAGUAAUGCAUUCUAAUCACUUUUAUCACAUAUGAUGCACUUAAUAAAUUGAAGGUGAAAUGACAUUUUUUUAAAAAAUAAUGAUAUUUUAGAAUAUGAAUGAUGUUAAGUGUUUUAAUUCUUAUGUUUAAGAAUCUUGUUUGAAUUGGUGAAUAAUGAAUUUGAAUUCCUUUCUAAGAUUCUUGACAUACGUCCUUAUAAAUUUUUUUAUAUUUGAUUAUCAUUUUUAAAUUCAAGAAAGUUGAGGAACAUGGAUAACUAAUCGCUUAUAAAGAUCCUUGAUUAUUUUAUUAUUUAUAAUACAGAUAAAAAAUGAUUAUGAUAAGAUGUGUGAUAGACAAUUAGAAAAAAGAUCUAAUAUUUGAUAUUUGGUACUUCAACAAUUAUGAAGUUAAAAAUAUGACAUGUUUGUAGAUAAUAUAUAUAUGAAAUGGGCUAAUAAAAAUAUUUGUGUUAAUUGAUUAAUCUUUCUUGAUACAAUACAAAUAGUGGUUGGUGAAUAAUAAAUUAACUAAAUUAAUAUAUAGUUCUCAAAUGAUGAUGGAUAUUCUGUAUGCAAAAACAAAAAUGAGUACAUUUGAUCAUUAUAUAUCAUAUAAAAUAUACACAUCCAUGUGAGAUGCAUCCAUGUGAGAUGCUUAUUGAAUAUCAUGAUAUUCCAAUGUGAUAAACUUAUUGAGUAUCUUUAAAUAUUGAUGGUACUUCAAUGAGAUAUGUUUAUUUAACAUCUUUGAUAAUUGUUGAUAUUUCAAUCUAUUAAACUUAUUUAAUAUCUUUAAAGAUUGGUAAGGAUUUUGACAACGCUCCUUUUGGCUAAAUUUUUUUUUUUUUUUGUCUUUUUUAUCUUAUUUAUUUAUCCUUAAGACAUCAAAAAGGGAAAAUAUUCAUUUUUAAUCUAAUAUACCUUUUUUAUUAAAGGGAAGAAAAAGGGAGGAUCAAUCCAUAGUAGCAACGACUCCUUAGAAGAAACAAAUCUUAUAACAAAAAGUGAAUGUAUCUUAUUCCCUUUGACUGAAAAAAAUUAUUCUCAUAUACUUGGUUUGAAUUUAUGGAUAUUAAAUAUGGGUUAAAUAAGGAAAGUGGGAGUGAGUAGUUGUCACGAGCUUCUUGAGAUAUUUUGUUAAAUAUAAAACGAAAGUUUUUAUUUUUUACCCGUUCUUUAAAACUAAAAGAAUAGAGAGCUCAUAGUAAGGGAGAUUCUUUCAAUUUCUCUUUGAUGCUCCUUUACAUGUUAUACAUUUGUGCUUUGAAGAUUAAGUUUCGUCAUCCAUAGAAAAAGUGAGGAACUAUCGAACUAAUAUGAUUGAUUUUGAUGAACGAUAUAAACAUACUUUUGUAUUAAUGAUGUUGAUUGAGUUUUCAAGUUAGCAAACAUGUUGUAACUCAAAAAACUAAUAAAUUAUGAAAGAUUACAAGAGCAUCAUUAAGAAGAGAAACAAAUUAAAGACCAAGAGUAAUUUUUUUUACUUACUUAAAUUAUAUAUAAUUUAAGUCACUUAAUGUUGAUAGCUCAAUUUUUUAUUUUUCACUCAUGAAUCCCUUUGAAAAGUCUAUUUUUCUUGGAAAAUAAAUUUUCACUAUUUUUUAGAAAGAUAAUUNNNNNNNNNNNNNNNNNNNNNNNNNNNNNNNNNNNNNNNNNNNNNNNNNNNNNNNNNNNNNNNNNNNNNNNNNNNNNNNNNNNNNNNNNNNNNNNNNNNNNNNNNNNNNNNNNNNNNNNNNNNNNNNNNNNNNNNNNNNNNNNNNNNNNNNNNNNNNNNNNNNUGGGGCCAUAUGUGAAGUUAUGGAGUUAUCCUUUAUAAUAAUAGUGGAAUUAUUAUUAUUUUAAUUUACUCUCCAAAAUAAUUAUUGAAGGACACUCAUAAGCAACAAUCAUUUAUUAUAUUUAGUUUAAUUUGCACCAAAUACAUAAAAAAGCCAACAAGAUAAACACAAAUGUUGAUGAAUUAACAUAUUUUUAUAUUCAAAUAUAAAUAAUAUAUUACUUUACUAUUUUAUGAAUAAGUUCAAACAUAAGUAACAUGUCAAUAAUAUCACGUAUACAUGCACAAUAUCACGUAGACAUGUAGAUUCACAUUUUUUUAAAUGUAAGAAAUAAAUUAAAGAUCUACUGAAAGACAUUACAUAGAUAUGAAGGAGAUAUACCAUACAUGGCACAGACCAAGGGAAAGUGACACAGAAGAUGAAAUAAAGAAUAGUCAUGGCAUACAAUGUCGAAUAAAAACACAAAGAAAAACAAAACACAAUAAUGUAGGGUUUUGUCCUACCCACGUGGAAAUUAAUAAAGAAAGAGGAAAAAAAAAGGAAAGGCUGCAAUAUUUGGGGGCAAACGGUUUUCACUCUCCCAUGUAUAUAUAUAUGUAGAAAUUGUAAAAAUAAGUGGCAUUCAGUUUUUCCUCUCAUACUCUCUCACAGAAAUUGAAAAAACAUAGCGUCAAAGUUUGGUUCUCUUUCACUCUCACACACGCAGAUCAAGCGUGGGAGAAAUGCUGUGAUUUUAGUAGAAGGAAAAAAAAGAGCAAAACAGGUUCAAAAUUUGUUUCUCUUUGCUCAUAGGCAUCGAGGAAAGUAGAAAAGAAAGGGCUUAUUUGGUUACAUGGAUAGAAAUGAGGUAGGAAAUAUGUGACAAAGAUUGGUAAUUUCUUUGGUAUUUUGAAUAAAUUUUGGAGAAUUGUUCUCAAAUUUCUUGGUCUGAUUAUUCAAGAGGAAUUGAGUUUGGUUAGGGAAGAAUUUAUGUAUCUUCUCCAAAAUAUUGUGUGCUUGAUUUCUUUGAUAGUGGAUUUGACUCGAAUUUUGGCCUGUUAUUUUUUCCUCUAUACUGGAGGGUUUUUGACGUAAAUCUUGUCUCUUGUUCUUUUAUGAUUGGUUAUUUGUUUGCACUGGUAUUGAUUUACAUAUUGAUUUGUUUAAAAUUAUCAAUUGGAAUUUUUGGAUUAAUUUUGGUGAUUGCUUUUUACACAUGUAAGAUUAGAAUAUUUAGAAGACCUAACAAGUGGUAUCAGAGAAAGGUUGAUUGAUUUUUUGGUUGAUUUAUGGUUUAGGAUUAAUUUUGUGAAUUAGGAUGAAGGAAUUUGCUGGUAGAAUGAUAAAAUUAUCUUCUUCAAAUUAUUAAAUUUGAAAGUUAAAGAUAGAGGAUCUUCUUUAUUGUAAGGAUUUAUAUGAUCCUAUUAAGUUAGGAACUGCUAAGCCAAUAGGAAAAUCAAAUGAUGAUUGGAAAAAAUGCAUAGAAAGACUAUAAGAACUAUCUGACAGUGGGUGGAUAAUAGUGUAUAUUAUUAUAUAAACAAAGAAGUGAAUGCACAAGUUUUGUGGAAUAAAUUGAAAAAUAUGUAUGAGAGGAAAAAUGCACGGAGUAAAACUUUUGUCAUUAGAAAGCUUGUCAAUAUGAAGCUGAGAGAUGUACAAUUAAUUGCAUAACACUUGAAUAAAUUUCAAGAGUUAUUAAAUGAGUUGAAUACAAUAAAAAUAACUCUAGAUGAUGAAUUACAAGUGUUAUUGCUCUUGAGUUCCUUGCCAGAUAGUUUGGGAGAUCUUGGUGGUGUCUCUUAGAAAUUUGCUCGAAGCAGUAUCUUUGUCUUUAUUUGUGGUAGUAGAUAGUUUAUACAAUGAAGAUACUAGAAGAAAAUAUAAGGGCAUUGAUACCUCAUAGGUCCUUGUCAUAGAGAACAUGGAUAGAAGUAAAAGUAGAGAUUCUAAAGGACACAAUAAAGGAAAAUCCAGUUGUUAUCAUUGCGACAAAGACGAGCAUAUAAGUUGGAUUUGAAAAAAUGAACAGAAUAGUGAGAAAAAUAAGAUAAAGAUAGAUGAUCAAACACCACUGGAACUGUAGCUGAGACAGUGAAGAACUGAUUGUAUUUUCAAUUGUUGAGAAUCAUAGUCAUGUCAUUAAUUUUAAUACUGAAUGGGUUAUUAAUUCUAUAUCAUCCUAUCAUACUACACCUAGGAGAGAUGUCUUUACUAUGUACAAUGUAGGGAAUUUCGGUGGAGUGAAGAUAGGUAAUACCAACUAUGCAGAUAUUAUGGGUAUUGGUGAUAUUUGCGUGCAUACAGAUGUUGGUUGCACGUUGACUCUAAAAGACGUGCGACAUGUGCUAGAUUUGUGUUUGAAUAUGAUUUCUACUCAUACGUUGAAUUUAGAUGGUUAUUACAACUCAUUUGGUGGUAGAAAAUGAACACUCACUAAAGGUUCAAUUAUGGUUGCUAGGGGUAGUUUGUUUUACACACUCUACAAGACUCAAGUGAAUUCAAUUAUAGGUGCACUGAAUGCAGCUAAAGAUGAUGAUUUGCCAAACUUGUGGCAUAAGAGGCUGACUUAUAUAAGUGAGAAGGGGUUGUAGAUUCUUACAAAGAAGUCUCUUAUUUCCUUUUCCAAAUGCAUGAUUUUACCCUUGUGAUAAUUAUUUGUAUUGUAAACAACAUAAAUUUUCUUUUAGUAGUUCAUUUAAAAGAAAAAAGAAUGUUCAUGAUUUAGUUUACUCUGAUAUAUGUGGUCCUAUUGAUGUGGAAACCAUAAGAAGUAGUAGAUAGUUUGUUACUUUUAUUUUGAUAUUUCACGAAAGGUUUGGGUAUUUGUUUUGAAAGAAAAGAUCAAGUCCACAGUAUUUUAACCAGUUUCAUGCUAUGGUAAAAAAAGAAAAAUGAACAUCCUUAAAGUGUUUUCGUAGUGACACUUCAAAGGAUUUUGUGAAUUACUGUUUACAACAUAGAAUUAGACAUUUGAAGACUGUUCCGAGUACUCUUCAACAUAAUGACGUUGCUGAAAGAACAAAUAGAACCCUCAUAGAGAAAGUAAGAUGUAUGUUGAAAAUGGCUUAUUUACCAAUGUCAUUUUAGGGUGAAGCACUCUACAUUACGUGCUACUUAAUGAAUCGAUCUCCAUAAACUUCUUUAUAUUUGAGAUUCCUCAAAGAGUAUGGUCUACGAUUGAAGGUAUAUGAGUGUAAGGAAUUUAUGCAUAUAUAUAAGGAGUAAAGACAUAAGCUUGAUGACAGGAUUGCUCUGUGUAUUCUUUUAGGUUAUGAAGUUGCAUAAUUUGGGUAUAGAUUUUGGGUUCCAGUGAAGAAGAAAGUCAACAGGUAAAGAGAUGUAAUCUUUAAAAAAUACAAGACCCUGUCAGAUUUUGAGACAUCAGAGAAGACUACAAGAGGUGAAGAUAUUUCACUUCCUGCACUAGUUUCUCAUUCAAUCAAAGAUGCCACAGAUGAAGGAGAGUCCCAUAUUUAACAUGGAAUUGAUGAUGUGCCAACGCCAGAUUAUGUUGAGAAGGGGAACAACACUUCACACCUUAGAUAGUAGAAGAAUCUCAAGUUAGAAGAUCAAUUAGAAUACAUAAUUCUUCUAACAGAUAUCCUAUUUUGAGUAUGUGAUAGUUACUAAAGAAGGGGAGCCAGAGAGUUUGCAAAAAAUACAGAAUUAUAAAGGAAAAUGUCAGUUGAUGAAUGUAAUGUAGCAAAAGAUAAGUUUUUUAAAAAAAUUCACAUUUAUCCAGUUGAUAUGUUGACCAAGGUGGUGACUCAUGAAAAGCAUCAAUCUUGUAAUAAGAUGGUGGGACUGAGUGAUAGUUGAGCAAUGGAUGUGAGGAUACCUCCCCAUGGACUAGAGGAGGAGAUAAUAGGGUUUUGUCCACCCCACGUGGAAAUUAAUGAAGAAAGAGAAAAACAAGAAAAUAUAAGUAAGGCUGCUGCCAGAUUUGGGAAGGGGAAUGGUUUUCUCUCUCCCACGUAUAUAUAUAUGUAGAAAUUGAAAAAAAAGUAUCAUUUAGUUUUUCUUCUCACGCUCUCUCACAGAAAUCAAAGAAAAAAAAACAUAGCAUCAAAAAUUAAUUCUCUUUCACUCUCACACAAGCAGAUCGAGAAGGGGAGAAAGGCUUUAUUUUCAAAAAAGAAAAAAAAAGCAAAAUAGGUUCAAAUUUUGUUCCUCUCUAUGCACAGGUAACGAGGAAAAUAAAAAAGGAAGGACUUAUUUGGUUACAGGCAUAAAAAUCGAGAGAGGGAAAAUUGUUGACAAAGUUUGGUAAUUUUCUUUGGUAUUUUUGAAGGAUUAUUCUCUAAUUUCUUGAUGUGAUCAAUCAAGAAAAAUUGAGUUUGGUUAGGGAAUAAUUUAUGUAUUUUCUCUAAAAUAUUGUGUACUUGAUUUCUGUGAUAGUGGGUUUGACUUGAAGUUUGGCAUGUGGUUUUUCCCUUUGAAUUGGAAUAUUUUUCUCAUAAAUCUUAUGUCUCGUUGUUUUUUUGAUUGCUUCUUUAUUUGCAUUGGUAUUGAUUUACAGAUUGAUUGAUUUAGAAUUAUAAAUUAGAAUUUAUUGAUUAAUUUUGGUGAUUUCCUUAAUUUACACAAGAUUAGAAUAUUUAGAAGAGCCAACAAAAAGUCAUCAAGAAACGACACAACAACAAAAGAAAAAAGAGAUGAACGAGCACUCUAGGAAAUAUAAGAGCAUCUAACAAUCAUAGCAACAACACAAAAACCUAAAAACAACAUGAAUCGAAAUGCAAAUAUAUUAUGUGAUAACAAAUUUUCACAAAUGGUAUCUAUAAAUAUUUUGGAUGCACCCAAAUUCUAUAUAUAGUUAUUACAAACGACGUACUACUAUUCUUUUAUAAUCAUAGAAAAUCUUCAUCAAAAUAAAUAAGGAAAUAAAAUAAAUUAGUAAAAAUGUGUAAAUGACAUAUUCCUUUACUUUUUCUGUGAGUACGUGUAUAUGUACUACACGUGUCAAUAGUAUUACAUAUAUGCAUGGAAUAGCAGAAAUAUUUAAUUAAGUUGAUUUUUCAUUUGCUGCUACAUAUUUAUAAAAUUUACAAUAAAAAUGUGUAAGUAAAAUCGGGGUAUUGAUCCUUAAUUACCUUAGAAGGACAUGAUUGGAAUAAUGGUUCCUAAUAAAUGUUUUUUUUUUCUUUUCUAAAAGCCGAGUGUUUGGUUUAUUUGCUUUUGCAUUAUGGAUAGUCAUAGGUUGGUAGGAUUUAAAUGUUCCUACUUUAGCUAUGGUGUUUGAGUCUUGAAGAGGGAUGAGUCUUUUCUAUAUGAAAAUAAUAGUUUUUUUAAAAAGAUAAUGAGAAUUUUAUUUAUCAUAAUCUAAUAUUAAUGAGUAAAAAUCUAGUAUAGAAUCAAAUGAGAAGGACAUCAGAAAACCAUUUAAAGAAAAUAAUGCAGACUUAUUUUUAUGCAUUUAGAUUGUAAAAUUAUGUAAGGUGUUGAGUAGUAAAGAUGAUAAACAAUAAGAGAAUCAAACAGAUCAUACAAUAAACAAUAUACGUAACACGAUUAAAAGACUACCUUUGAGUCACUAUCACAUAGCCAACCUGUUUUUUUUUUUCUAUAUUUUUUCCAAAAAAAAACCAAUUUAUAUUCAUAGUAGCAAAUAUUAAAUUGAUACAAAAUUACUUAAUCAAUUAAGUAUAAAGGAAAAGAUUAGCAAAAUUGAUAAAAGAGGAGCAAGUUCAUCACAAUUAAUGGAUACUCUUAAAAGAUACAUAAAACGCCCAAAUCAUGGAUAUGCUAAUUUUUUUUUUCAAAUAUAAGAGAUAAUUUGAAGAUCAAUAGAAAGACAUUACACAAAUAUAAAUUAUAAACAUCUCUGUCAAUUGAGAUUAAUGGGAAGAGACAAAGUGUGACAUUCCAAGUGCUAAUUAAGACAAAUGGGUCUCAGAUACAGAUUCAUAAUAACAAGUGCAUGAUAAAACUUAUGCCGCGGAAUCAAAUCAUAACAAAUCUCUUAUAAAUAUAUAUAAUGUUCCAAAUACAUAUAUAAAUUCAGGCCAGAAGUUGUUACAAAAUAUAAAACAUAAGGGCCACUUCUUUCACUAUGCUACUGGAUGCAUCAGAGUGCGGGAACAGUCAUGCACUUAGACUUGUGGAUCCACGAGAUCCUCAUAGACUUCCAAGGGUAGGUCUGCCUGCAAUUUCUCAUUUUCUUCCUCCUCUGGGAGAGGGAGCGCAUGGAAAGAGUGAGUUCCAUAUGCUCAGUAAGGAAAGCAGUAUUAAAUUAAUUUUAUAAGAUUUCAAAAGUUUAUUAUUUUAUAUUACUGUUUAGCUUCCUUAUUUACCUAUCUCACCAUUAUAAAAACUAUUUAUUUGAAUACGAAAAUGGUACGUUAGCACAAAAGAUCAUAUAUACGUCAUGCCAGAUAAUAGAGAAAAUAAAAUAAAUCAUGAAAUGCACAGAAUUUUUGUGUCAUGCUUUGUGAAGUCAUUACAAAGUUCUAUCUCUGAGGGCAUAUAUAGAUUUCCAACUACCCAAGUGGAAUGACCAGAUCAGAUAUAGAUACAACAAUUUGCUCAGGCCCACUUUCAGUUGGCUAAACCAUUGUACGAUCUAUGACCAUGGCCGUACCAACCAUAGUGGUCCUAAAAGAUAUCUAUAGUUACGACAUUACUUAGCCACGGUUGACCCCUACAGAUAGUGCGAUACCACUCUCCUUAGAGGGCAUGCUGUCAUCCGCUAGGAGUAGUCCUCUUACAUCUUUCUAGACUAGAUAGGGGAAAGGAAAACAGAUACCUCAAAGAGUAAGGGGACCAGAUAACCCUUAGAGAUAAAAAGCCUAACGAGAUACUUGAUGCAAUAUGCAUGUCAAUACAGAUACACUUUAGACCAUACAGAUUUCAUUCCAUGUUUCUCUUUUUCUUUUCUUUUCACUUUAACUAUUACGGAUUAAAUAUUAUUUUAUUACAUGCAAAUUCAUCAAGUGUUUAUAAUUCACAUAGCAUGCUUGAAAACCAGAAUAAUUUGACUCAUUUGAAUACAGAGGCAUAUAAAACAGAUAAAAUAACACUCAUAUUAAAUUCGCUUAUCCAAAAAUACUCCUUAAGACGUCAAAAGUAAUACUAGGUUCCUUACCAAAACCUCGAUGAUUUCUUCUUCACCGUUUUCCUUUCUUUCUCUUCUUCUCUCACUAAUCUACUAUCUCUCUCUCUUUAAACUUUAAAAAAUGAAAGAAAUCCAAAUGUGGAAAGGAAGGGAAAAGGGGUAAUUUAUAGAAUUUUAAGAUUGUUAGAUUCGCAAUAAGUGGUGAAAUAUGGUGAAGAGAGAGGAGAAAAAGAUUCUUAGUAUAAAAAAAUGAGGGAGGAGGACCUCCUCAUUAUGUGAUGGUGGGGCUCCGCCUAAGGUAGCAGCGGUGCACUGCCCGAGGUAGCGGUACCCGACCGGUGUGCUACAGGGCAUAGGCCUACUACUACACACGCAGGGGCUAGUCUGCGCGUGCGCAGGCCUUAGAUGCACAGGGCCUUUCCACAAAAGCCUACUGCAUGGAGGGCGCGCGCAUAGUGUGCGACACCAGUCCGUGCAUGAGGUGACUUGCAGACGACCUUCCUGCAUGCGACAGGACCGUGCACAGGUCUUGACCCCACGUCGUGCGCGCUGUGCGCAUGUUCUGUGCAUGCGUGAGUGCAGAUGGGUCGUCCGCAUUGUGCGCACACCUCGUGGCCAUUGUGCGUGCAUGUGCGUGUGCACACUGCCCAACACCUGUGAGGGCAAACUACUCUCUCACGGGAUUUUUCCCGCAGACAGUUUUUCCUCAUUUUGCUAUUUUUUGAUUUUUUUCUAAUUUUCUUUUUAAUUUAAAAAUAAAAUAAAAUAAAAUAAUUUAAAAUAAAAUAAAAUAAAAAUUAAUAAGAAUAAGAAUUAAUAAAAAUCAUGAAUAAUGAGAAAUGUUAAAUAGCGUAAAUUAAUUAAGUUUAAGGCAGCCAAAGGCCCAAAUAAAUAGAGUUUCCAAAUCAUUUUAGCACAAUGAUGGGCGGGGUGUUACAUCCCUCCCACCUAAAACUAUUUGGUCCCUAAAUUUAUCUCGAAUAAGUAUAGAUACUUUUUCCUCAUUUCGUCCUCCAAUUCCUAUGUUGUUUCUUAUGGAGUAGGAUGCUACCAUCAUACCUUCACUAUAGGGAUUGUCUUGUUACGUAAGACUUUAUCAGUCCACCCUAGAAUUUCUACAGGAACCUCCUCAUAGGUCAUAUCGGUCUGUAUCUGUUCCUCAUCACGAGGAAUAACAAUAGAAGGAUUAGAGUGGUACCUCUUGAGCAUCGAGACAUAAAAGACAUAAUGCAAUCCUAUGAACUCUCGGGAUAAAGUGAGGUGGUAAGCCACAGAUCCAAUACGCUCGAUGAUCAGAAAAGGUCCCACAUAACGAGGGGUGAACUCCUAUCUCUUUCCAAAUCACAUCUUACCUUUGUAGGGGUAGACUUUUAAGAAAACUUGAUCUCCCACGGCAAACUCCAAGAGUCGCCUAUGAUUAUCGGCGUAGCUCUUUUGGCGGCUUUGGGUAGUUGUCAAAUUCUUGCGGAUGAUUGCGACCUUCUCUAUGGUCUCCUAAAUGAAGUCUGGUCCUAAGUGGCACUGAUUCCCGACUUCACUCCAGCAAGUGGGGGAACGACAAGGCCUUCCAUAUAAAGCUUCAUACGGGACCAUACCGAUACUGGAAUGGUAACUGUUAUUAUAAGCGAAUUCACAAAGAGGAAGAUACUCAUACCAGUUAUCACCAAAGUCAAAAAUGCGAGCACGUAACAUAUCUUAUAACAUCUGGAUCGUACACUCUGGCUGACCAUCCGUCUGGGGAUGAUAAGCGGUGCUGAAGUACAACUGAAACCCCAGAGCUUCUUAGAAGGUGUCCCAAAAGUGGGAAGUGAAUUGGGGGUCGCAGUCGGAUAUAAUGGAUGAGGGAACUCCAUGAAGUCAAACAAUCUCAUCAACAUAAAAGUAGACUAACUUACUGGUGGAGUCCAUGGUUCGAAAAGGUAGGAAAUGGGCAAUCUUCGUCAGCCUAUCCACAAUGACCCAAAUGACAUUUCAAUCAGAACAGGUCCUUGGCAAUCCGAUGACAAAGUCCAUAGUCAUGUGCUCCCAUUUUCAUCCAGGAAUCAGAAGACCCUGUAGCAAGCCAUCAGGUCUUUGAUGUUUUGUCUUUAUCCGUUGACAAGUAAGGCAUCGGGAGAUAUAGUCAACUAUAUCUUUCUUCAUUCCUGGCCACCAAUAUUGUCAUUUCAAGUUCCGGUACAUUUUGGUACUUUGAGAAUGAAUGGAUAACUUGAAAGCAUGGGCAAUCUUGAGUACAUUUGUACGUAUAGCAACGGGAACCCAAAUUCAGUUUUAGAAUCUGAACAAUCCGUCAUCAGAGAUCCUGAAAUCNNNNNNNNNNNNNNNNNNNNNNNNNNNNNNNNNNNNNNNNNNNNNNNNNNNNNNNNNNNNNNNNNNNNNNNNNNNNNNNNNNNNNNNNNNNNNNNNNNNNNNNNNNNNNNNNNNNNNNNNNNNNNNNNNNNNNNNNNNNNNNNNNNNNNNNNNNNNNNNNNNNNNNNNNNNNNNNNNNNNNNNNNNNNNNNNNNNNNNNNUGAAACGAAGCUUUAGUUUUAUGAAGCUUUCACUAUAUUCAUAAUUCCAAACUAAGGGUACUCUUUUUCUAGUGAGUCGAGUAAUAGGGGCAGCAACCUUGGUGAAUUUGUCAAUGAACCGUCGGUAGUAGCCUACUAAGCUAAGAAAACUACGUACCUCAACCACAUUGGUGGGCGGACUCCAGCUGAUCACCGAUUCUACCUUAGACAGGUAUACAAAAACUCCUUCACUAGAGAUUAUAUGACUGAGAAAAGAAACUUGAUCCAACUAAAAGGAGCACUUGCUUAGUUUCGCAUACAAUUAGUUUUGACGAAGAGUCUCUAACACUUCAGCCAAAUGCACGAUGUGUUCCUUAUGGCUUUUAGAAUACAUGAGAAUGUCAUUAAUAAAGACAAUGAUGUACUGAUCUAGUGCGUGUCAAAAAACUCGAUUAAUUAGGUCCAUGAAAGCUUCUGAGGCAUUGGUCAAUAUGAACGACAUCACCCUGAACUCGUACAAUCCAUAUCUACACCGAAAGGUUAUUUUUGGAAUAUCUUCUUCUUUAACUCUCAACUAGUGAUACCCAGUUCUGAGAUCAAUUUUAGAGAAGAUCGUGACUCCUUACAGUUGAUCGAAGAGAUCGUCGAUAUAGGUUAAGGGGUACUUGCUUUUAACGGUCACUUAGUUGAGUUCCCUAUUGUCCACACAGAGUCGGAGGGUACCAUUCUUUUUCUUUACAAACAACACCAAAGCACCCCAAGGGGAAUGGUCAGAGCGAAUUAAUUUCUGGGUGAUAAGAUCAGAAAGCUGAUGUUCCAACUCUAUUAGCUCAGUAAGACUCAUGCGAUACACAGGCUUCGAGAUCAGCUGGGUUCUAGACAAUAAUUUAAUCAGAAACUCUACCUCACGUGAGGGAGACCAGGAUGUUCGAUGGGAAAGACAUCAGAAAAAUUACAAAUAAUUAGUAUGGAACACACAGUAAGAUCAGUGUUCAUAUUCCUAUUCAUUAGAAAAAUGAUAACAAAAACUUUUAUUUCUUUCUUGGGGAUCUUAAGGUUACAAUUUUACUUUCAUAGUCUAUUAUUACUCUAUACUUUUCCAACUAAUCCAUUUCUAAUAUUAUAUCAACUCCUACAAAAUCUAAUAAUAUCAAGUUUACACAUACCUCUAUUUCUGAAGUUUUUAUCCUACAGUCCUUAUAUACGUAAUGAGCCUCUAGUAGUCUUUUAGAGGGAGUUUCCACCACUAGAGUUUUUCCUAAAGCUUCUGGUCUAAAUUCUAAGUACAAGCAAAUGCAUAGAAAAUAAAAGAGUGAGUUGCACUAGUAUCGAUCAAAGCCGUGGCAAAAGUAUUAUGAAUAAAAAGCAUACCCUGAAUGAGAACAGAAGCAGGAAGGACAUCAGGUUCAUCUAAGUGGUACACUCGACCAUGUGAAGUCUUUGGUCGCUGAGGGCACUCUUUUAUAAAGGUACUGGGUGCUUCCGCACCGAUAGCAGCGUUAUUAAUAUACCAACAGGGCAGGUCACCAUGUGAGUGACCACAAUGUUGACAAAGUUGGCUAGCUUGGGUAGGUGGAGAUGUAGUGGGGGCAGGGCAUAAGGAAAGGCCAAUUCUGGGUUCGUUGUCUGAAGGGUUACUUACUGGAUUAGACAAUCGUUUUCUAAGCUGUUGGGGUUAUUGUUGGGCAUGAACUCAAGAAAAGUGUUGGUGUUUAGCCAAGAUAAGAUCUUCGGCCAACUGGGCAUGUUCAAGCACCUCCACAUAUGAGCUAGGUCUCAGCAUCGCGACCAAAUCAUAAAUGUCGACACGAAGGCCUUUGAGAAACUUUCUACCUUUUUGGCUUUCGAGGGUGACCAUCAAAGGGAAAAACCUAGACAGUUGAACAAAUUGGGCUGCAUAUUGGGCUAUAGAUAAGCUUUAUUGGUAGAGAUCCUAGUAUUCCUCCUUCUUUUUUUUUUCCAAACAUAAGUAGGAAAAAGUUAUUAAAAAAAGCAUCCAUGAAAACUUUUCAGGUAGUAAGGGUAGGCAGGACUUCUUUCCUAAGUCGCCACCAGUGUUCGGCUUCAUCAUUUAGCAUGAAAGUGACAAGAGGGACUUUUUAUUCUUUGGUCAGAUCUAGUACAGAGAAGAGCUUCUCUAUUUGUAGGAUCCAAGCUUUGGCUAUUAAAGGAUCAGGACCACCUUCAAAGUGUAAGGGGUUAAGUUUCCUAAACUCUGCUAUAUUGUGGGAGAUAAACCAAUCUGUGUUUCAGAAUUUAGGGGUAGGGGAUGGACAAGGGUUAGCCUUGUUCUAUCAUACAGAUGUAGUUAAUCCUUGAGUGGCUCAUAAAUAUUCUAUGAAUACAGCCUUGGUCAGAUGAUCCGGGGCUUCAGGUCGUUCAAUAUUCUCUACAGAUGGUCUUCCCCGCAUCAUUCCUAUAAAAGAAAGAAAGACACGAGUUGGAGGUUUAAUUCUUAAAAAGAGGACAUAUUUCUUUCCUAGGUACUCUAAAAGAUUUAUUUACCCUAGAUCUCAGUGCAAGAGAUUUAUUUUGCAAAAUUCUACUCUGAUACCAUCUGUGACAUCCCAAGUGCUAACUAAGGCAAAUGGGAGUCAGAUACAGAUUCAAAAUAACGAGUGCAUGAUAAAAUUUAUAUAGCGGAAUCAAAUCAUAACAAAUCCCUUAUAAAUAUAUAUAAUGUUCCAAAUACGUAUAUAAAUUGAGGCCAGAAGUGGCUACAAAGUACAAAACAUAGGGCCCACUUCUUUCACUAUGCUACUGGAUUCAUCAGAGCGCGGGAACAGUCAUGCACUCAAACUUGUUCAUCCACGGGAUCUUCAUAGACUUCUAAGGGUAGGUCUGCUUAUAGUUCCUCAUUUUCUUCCUCAUCUGGGAGGGGCAUAGAAAGAGUGAGUUCUAUAUGCUCAGUAAGAAAAACAAUAUUAAAUUAACAUCGUAAGAUUUCAAAAGUUUAUUAUUUUAUUUUACCAUUUAGUUUCCUCGUUUACCAAUCUCACUAUUAUGAAAAUCAUUUAUUUGAAUAAGAAAAUGGUACGUUAGCACAAAAGAUCAUAUGUUCAUUAUGCCAGAUAAUAGAGAAAAUCAAAUAAAUCAUGAAAUGCACAGAAUUUUCUUGUCAUGCUUCGCGAAGUCGUUAUAAACUUCCAUCUCUGAGGGCAGAUAUUAAAGUUUUAACUACCCAAGUGGCAUGACCAUAUCAGAUACCGAUACGACAAUUUGCUCAGACCCACUUCUGACUGGCUAAACCAUGGUACGAUCUAUGACCAUAUCUGUACCAACCAUAGUUGUCCUAAUAGAUAUCUAUAACCACAACAUUACUUAGCUACGGGUGACCCCUACAGAUAGUGCGAUACUACUCUCAUCAGAGGGCAUACCGUCAUCCACUGGGAGCUGUCCUCUUACAUCUUUCCAGACCAGAUAAGGGAGGGAAAAAUAGAUACCCCAAAGGAUAAGAAGAACAAAUACCCCUUAGAGAUAAAAAGCCUAACGAGACACUUGAUGCAAUAUGCAUAUCAAUACAGAUACACUUCGGACCAUACCGGCUUUAUUCCAUUCUUUUUCUUAUUUGUUUUCUUUUUACUUUUACUAUUACAGAUUACAUAUUACAUUUAUUACAUGCAAAUUCAUCAAGUGUCUAUAAUUCAUAUAACAUGUUUGAAAACUCGAACAAUUUGACUCAUUUGAACACAAAGACAUACAAAAUAGGCAAAAUAACAUUCGUAUUAAAUUUGCUUAUCUAAACAUACUGCUUAAGAUGUUGAAAGUAAUACUAGAUUCCUUACUAAAAUCUCAAUGUUUUCUUUUUCACUGUUUUCCUUUCUUUCUCUUCUUCUCUCACUAAUAUACUCUCUCUCUCUCUAAACCUUUUAAAAAUGGAAGAAAUGAAUGUGUGAAAAAGAAGGAAGGGUGGGAAUUUAUAGAAUUUUGGAAUCGUUAGAUUUGCGACAAGUAAAAUCCAGUAAAGAGAGAGGAGAAAAAGAUUCUUGGCACGAAAAAUGAGGGAGGAGGACCUCCCCCAUCGGCAACGGCAGUACGCUGCCCAAGAUAGUGGCAGUGCACUACCUGAGAAGGUAGUGCCCGACCAGCAUGCUACAGGUUAGCCUGUGCACUCGCAUGGCCUUGGUGCACUGGGCACCGCGCUCGCAGGCCUAUUACGCGCAGGCCCCAGGUGCACAGCGCCUAUCCGCACAAGCCUGCUGCGCAGAUGGCACACGCACAGUGUGCAGUGCCAGUUUAUGUGCGAGGUGACGCAUAGAUGGCCCACCUAUGUGCGACAGGAUGCACACGUUGGUCCUUACUCGUGCCUGCGUGCAUGCGGAGGGGACGUGCGUACUGGUGUGUAAAAGGGUCGUGCGCACUGCCCCGUAGCAACUGUGUACGCAUGCGCGCACGCAAUGCGUAGCACCCACGCGGGCAAACCGCCGUCUCGUGGGAUUUUUCCCACGGGUGGUGUUUUCCCAUUUUGCUGUUUCUCGAUUUUUUUUUUUUUAUUUUCUUUUUAAUUUAAAAAUAAAAUAAAAUAAAAAUUUAUAAGAAUUAAAAUAAAUAAAAAUCAUGAAGCAUGAGAAAUGUUAAACAACAUAAAUUAAUCAAGUUUAAGGCGACCAAAGGCCCAAAUAAAUAGAAUUUUCAAAUCAUUUUAGCAUGGUGAUGGGCAGGGUUUUACACAAAAAAAUGUGCACAAAGAGUACUAAGGUUAUGCAACAAGAAACACAAACAUAAACAAAAACAAAAAACAAAAAAUUAUCAAAAAAUAGCAUAACAAUAGUAGAAAAAAGAGAUGAGCAAGCACACCAGAAAAUGUAGGAGCACCCAACAAUAGUAGGCAAUGCCAUGGAAAACCAGAAACAACAGGAAUCAUGUUGCACAUAUAUUAUAAAUGAUAAUAAUUUUUUAAUAAUGGCAUCUAUAAAUAUUUCAUAUAAGAGAAAUUCUAUAUAUAUUUAUUACAAAUAACAUGCUAUUGUAUUUUAUAUAUAGAGAAAAUUUUCAUCAAAAUAAACAAGAAAAGUAAAUAAAUUAAUAAAACAUGUAGAUAACAUAUUCUUUUUUAUCUUUUUCAGUAAGUACGAAUAUAUAGUACAUGUGUCAAUAAUAUUAUAUAUAUGCAUAGUAUAGUAGCUAUAAAAUAAAUUAUUUAAUUAAGUUGAUUUUCCUUUUGUAAGUAUAUAUUUAUAAAGUUUACGACAAAACUAUGUAUGUGAAAUGUGGGGUAUCAAUCCUUAAUUAUCAUUGGAGGAUUUAAUUAUUUGUUUUUGCAUUCUAGAUAGUCUUGGAAUACAUAGGUUAGUAGAAUUUAAAAGGUUUUCCACUUUAGCAUUAGUGUUUGAAUUUUGGAGAGAGGUGAGUCUUCCAUGUAACAAAAAAUAGCUUAUUUUUUUUGAAGAUAAUGAAAAUUUUAGUUAUCAUAAUUUAAUAUAGAAUCAUAAGAUAAAAACAACAUAAACCAUUUAAAAAAGUUAAUACAAAUUUAUUUUUAUGCAUUUAGAUUGCAAAAUUGAAUGGUAGUAAAAAUAAAAAACUAAUAAGAUAAUUAAAACAUAUUGUAUAAUAAACAAGACACAUAACACCAUUGGAAGAAAAGCUUUUAGUCACUAUCACAUAGCUAAACUUAUAAUUUGAACACUAGAUUUCUGAUUCUAAUAUCAUCUCAUAUAAUGUAUACUCUUAGAUGAGACAUAAAGCACCCAAAUCAAGAUAGUUCGUAAAGUUUCAAGAGCACAGCCAUGCAAAGUCCAGCUUAUGGCAUUUUUUUUUUCUUUCUAGAAAAUUCUAAACUUUUUUUCAAUCCUUUUCGUUUAUAGUUUUGUUGAUUAAAUAUAAAUAUAACUGCUUCAGCGUGUAAUAUCACACCAUAUAUAAAUGGUAAAAUAUUUAUCAUAAUAAAGUUUGUAUGUGACCAUUAAUCUAAGUCGAAUAACUUAUUAUAUCGAUAUAAGUAUAAAUAUAUAUGUAUAUAUAACUUAAAUCUUUUCCUUAAUGUACAAAAGCUUUGUUAUGAAUAACUUAACUUAUUGCUUCCUCUUUCUAUAGGUAUAUAAAUAGCUAGCUGUUUGUAUUUAGCUCAUUUUGUGCGGCUCUCUUCUCCUCAUAUAUAUAUAUUUUGGUGGUGUUGUAAAAGUGAUUGUAAAAGUUGAUUGCUAUGUGUAAAUCCACAAAGUGUUUUCUUCUUGAACUUUUUUGUUUACCUUUUGAGGGAGAGAAAAAAAUUGAAUUUACGUAUGACAUAUACAUAUCUCAUCAAUGUAAAUUAUAUCCAUCUAUUGACUAUUUUCCAUUAAUUAAGAUUGAUGACCAUAUAUAUUUGAUGCAAAUUUCUUAACUGUUAAGGAAAUUCAAUGGGUCAUAAUGGUCAUUUUAGACCCAGAAAAAAUAUUAAUUUUAUACUUAAUUAUUAUGUUUUAGCAUAUGCCAUGUAUAAGAAUUUAAAAUUUUAAAAAAAAAUGGUGGCUUGUAAUUAAAGAGAAAGAGAAAAUGAGCAGAAUAUAUAAAACAGUAAAGGUUUUAGGAAAAUCACAAAAAAGUUCAAAAAAGUUUACUUAUCCCUCAAACGUUUCAUAAGGUUUGUUUUAUUACUAGCAACCAUAAAAAUUAUUUUUUAUACACAUUUUAUUUCAUUUAGUCCCCUUUUAAGCACUAGAAAUUUAUUCAAAAAUUAUUUUUCUGCUGAAAUUAAAUCUCUAAAAAUAUUUUUUCUCUAUUUUGGUAUUAGGGUUCUUUUUUCCUUUUCCCAACACUCCAACUUAGAGAUAGAGUUUUAUUUCUUAUUUUUCUUAUGUUACAGCCACAUUGGAUACCAUUUGUUUUGCUUUAAGAAGGAAAACAAUGACUUGUAAACCAAAAGUAACACCCACAAGAAGGUAAGAAGUGUGAGACAAAGGAAAGAUCAAUGGCUAAGAUUCAUCCUUCAUUAUGAAAAUCUAUGGAGGCAAACAUGUAUAAAAUGGAUACAUGGUCCUUUUCCCUUCUUCCCCACCUAACACAGUCCAUUUCCAAACCCUUGAGUCUCCAUUAUUAAUCUGAUUUCCCCAUCAACUGAAUUUUUGAUAGUGACAUUAACAAGAAUGACUCAAUUUCGCUAGUAGUACUACUAAUAGUUUUGUGGGUUGACGCCAUAUAGGACGAAGCAGGACAAACAUCAAAAAAACAUAAGUGGACUCCUUGAGUGGUUUAAGGUAGAAGAGAAAGGUGAAAGAAGAAAAACAUUGAGGUGGAUUUAAUCAAGAAGCUUCCUUAUCAUCCAAUUCAAUCCAUUUUAGGACAUUUACUAGCAUAUGCUAUUGCUAGAGCUUUCACUGUGUGUAAGAAAUGGUAGGAAUCCUUGAAGACAUCUUUCAACCUCAAUCUGGAUGAGAUCUGAUACAGGAAAAAAUCUUAUCAUGAUUACAUAAACAUUUUUCUAAGCUCCAUGCAAUCAGCCUUGACAAAUCAUGACAUGGAACACCUUUAAGAUCUUUGGAUUUUAUCUGUGUUAAACUACCAAAGCGACAAAGAGGUUCGGUCUCUUUAAAAACUAGUUGUCAUUUUAGCCUUCUAGAGAUGUAAAAAUAAGAGUAUUGGACUUAAACUUUGCAAUUAAUUGUUUUGGUACUAUAUAACAAACAUGGUUACACCUCCUAAAGGUUUUUGCCUCUAGGAAACACAUGUUAUAUGUGUAAUGUUUAAAGCUUGCUUGUUUCCUACUUGUGUUGUUAUAAACUUCCCUUGUUUGAAAGAACUUAUCUUAUCCACAAUUUACUUAACUGAUGAAAUGUUUUAAAAGGUUAUUAGUAACAGUCCUACUAUGGAAUAUAUUUCACUUGAGGAUUCUCGUAAUUUGAGGUACAUAAAGUUUUCUAGUCCUAAAAUUAAAAAUUUCCUAAUUGAUCGUUGUAAAAAACUCAUAAGAGUUGUCUUAGAUGUCCCAUAUCUGGUUUUCUUUUCAUAUAAUGGGAACAUUCUUGAAAAUUGACGUAGCCGUUUCGAUUAAUUUCAUUUCAUGGCUCCAUGUCUCAACCUUGGGAAUACUAUAAAGUUUUCAGAAGUGAAUGUCAAAGCUUAUCACUUUCAUAAGCUCAUUGCCAAGUUAAAAAAACUUGAUUUUUAUAGAGGUUCGACCACCCGCAUGCACCUACAUCCUCUCCUCAAGUCAAGUAAUUGGUACUUCAAUAUCACUUCAAAUGUUUGUUUUUCAUAUACUUAGCUUCCCUUGUCACGUACAAAUAGUAGUUUAAGGUAUCUGUCUUUAUAAAUUAUAAGUGUUUAUUUAUGUUGGUGUAAAGUUUUACCACUCGAGUGUUUCUCUCAAACACUCAAUUCCCAAGAAGUUUUCUACACCUAUUCUUACAAGUAUAAUACUUGUUUUGGAUGUUUAGUUUCACUACUCAAAUGUUUCUCUCAAUUACUCAAGAAAAUGGAAGGAAAUGUGUCAAUUUUCUUUUCACAAAGAAGAUAAUUAUAAUAUGAUUUGAAAGAAGUCUCUAAGAUGAUUUUUAAGAUCUGUCUCAAGAAAUUUGACAUUCACAAGCCAUCCAUGUAAAUUUAUAAUCCUUUCUUGUAUAUUUAAAUUUGGCUCAAGUGCAUGAGCCAUCUUUGUUUGAAGUUACUCCUUAACUCUUUUCUUCUCCCAUAGUAAAAUUUCCUCUACUUUGUAGAAUUGAUGCGUAACCUAGGAUUAACUACUGUGAUAAAAAAAAUCCCAUAUAUAAUAUUAAUAAUCAAAAUCCUAAAACUCUCAACAAAUCCUCCAUACCAACCUGAUAAGUCACAUAGAAUUAUGAGCUUAGAUAAUUGGAAUAGUUUGAAGUGAUUAAAAAUGCCACAAGCAUGAACUUGAUAAGUUACAAAUCAAUUAGCAAGGAUAUUGAUAAAACGCCACAAGGGGUUACCUUAAAAAAUUAAAUCAAUCCUCAUUGAACAAGAUGGUUGAAGAACCCUCUCAAAGAGUAAUCACAAUAGCAUAAGGUAAAGCAAUCAAUCCCCCAUUGAUAAAAUUGAUGGAUUAACUACAACUGAAGAGUUGUGGCCUUUAUAUAGGCAUUCACCAUACAUAUUUAAAUAAAACUCAAAUACUAGAAUCCUAAUUAAAUUCCUUAAUUUAACCAAAUCUAGGAAAACAUUAAAAUGAUAAUUAAAAUAAGCAACGUAAUUAAAACAUAAACUCUCAUCUCUUGAGAUGAAAGAGUGUUGUGACUAAAUUCAUCAUGCUUUUUUUUUACUUGAAUGUGGUCUUCAAUAUUUAAGUAAUUCUUGUGGUAGAAGAUGAGUUUGUAGACACUUAAAAAGCUUCCACAUUGAAGUAAAAAUCAAUUCUUCUUUGAUGAGAAAAUCAAAGAGAAAAUCUAGAUGGAAAUUUAGAAAGAAAUCUAGGGAACAAUCCAUGAAAAAAUCUAGGAGAAAAUCAAAGGAAAAAAAAUCUAGAAAAUAAUCCAACAUUAUCCAUGAGAAAAUUAAGGAUGGAAAUUUGGGUAGGAAUCUUUUGGCUAAAUUCACCUUGAAUUCUUGUUGCUUCUUUGCUUGAUGAUUUAUCAUUCCCUUUGAAGUAGAAUUCUUAUACAUGUUAUUUUUUAAUUAAUUGAAACUCUAUUAAAAAAGGAAGCCCAAUUUUCCUUUAAUUUAGUCACCAAAAGGAAGAAAAGUGAGAAUUCUCCCUUGGGUAGGAUUCCUAUGCGGGUGAGAAUUAUUUCCCCUAUUCUUCUUAAUCGCAAGUAGGUUUCUCCUAAGCAUGGAUUAAUUUAUGAAAUUUUAAAGAAGAAUAUAUUUUGGGCAUGAAAUCUUAAUGGGGAAGAGAUAUCUCGUGUGGGUGAGUAUCUUUCUUCCCUCCUUCUUCAUUAAGAGCCAAAAGCUUAAUUUAGGAGGAGGCUCAUUCUUGUGAUGAAGUGGAGAAAAGAUGAUUCAAUCAAGAGGAAGAUAAAGCCACCAAAGAAAGAAAAAGUGACAACAUCAGAAAAGUAAAAUAUAAUGCCAUGGGAGAAAAGGAACAUGAUGACCCCUUGGUGGAAGAAAGAAAGAUACUCUAUCUAAACCUAAACUUUCUUUCUUUAGUGGUGUUGUUUCUUUAUUACAAGAAGUAGAGUCGGUUAAAUCAUUACAUGAGAAUGUCCCCAAUUUGAGAAAGGAAGGGGGGGAUAACUCACAUUAAAAUCCCAUGUCAAAGAUGAUUACCACCAAACGGUCAAAAAGAGUUGACAACCAUUCUCUCAAUAAGAGUUGACAACCAUUCCAAUCAUGGACUCUCAAGUAUUUCAUAUGAGGGAGUUGUCAACUCUUAUUGAGAGAGUCAUAACUGGAAACUCGUCUCUUUUAAGGAACAUUAAUCAUAUAAAUAAUAAGAGUCCUAAAGAUUAUGGACACUUGAUUAUUCAUUCGUAGGCAAUCGAACACAAUCCUCCUAAUGAAUAUGUUUCAACUUCAAGUAAAUCUCAUAAGAAUCCUUAUCCUACCAAGUAAGGCGAGGUUUCAAGACAUUUACAUCAUCAAAACUGAUAUUUUUUAUCAAUUUAGAAUCCUUGUCACAACAAGAUAAGAAGAAUCCUAUUAUUACAAGUCUUGGUCAGGUUUACACUAUUCUUCAUCUCAUGGGAGAAAAUCCUAAAUUUUCUCUCAGUUUUUCCAUAUAAUUUCUCCUAGAUUUUCUCUUGGAUUUUUUCCUAGAUUUUCUCCUAGAUU